AAGAUGGGGCACAGAGGAGGUGGGCGUCUGGCUGGAACAGCUGAGUCUGGGGGAGUACAGGGACACCUUCAUCCGACACGACAUCCGAGGCUCGGAGCUGCUGCACCUGGAGAGGAGGGACCUGAAGGAUCUGGGGAUAUCGAAAGUGGGUCAUAUGAAGAGAAUUCUCCAGGGAACUAAGGACCUGGCCAAGGCCUCAAUGGUUGACCUCUAACCCGGUAGCAGACGCUGCCGGAGAGGGGAAACGAACGUCCCCCUCACAUCAGUGGAGGAAUUUGGGAGCACCGAAGGCAGAGAAGGAAAAGAGAAGGUAUUCAAGGAGAGCUGGAUUUGAUCCCUCUGCUUUGUGAUGUUGUUACCAAGAUACAUUAGUGUGUUCGUUUGUGCUUUGGUGCCAAAAUGAGGAGAGAAAAAAAGCGGAUAGAAAUGCAAAAGGAAGUCAUGGAUCUUCACAAAACAAAAAGCCAUUUCUGAGUUAAUAACCAUUCAUAGCACACAAUCAGGUAUGCAACUAACCUUACCUUUGACAGCUGACUUUGCGUUGUGAUAACAAACAAGUAGCAAAACCAGGACUUCCAUGAGUGUGGGAUUUCGUUUCAGUUCAGAUGGGUGGUGUGAUGUUUGCACACAGCUGCAGAUGCAUUAAAGCAACCUUCGGGUUCACGUAGCACUGCCGUUCGGUGGAGACAGAGGACCAACGUGUAACAUCACAGUCUCUAGGUGGCAGUCUGGAAGGUGUGGUGGGAUACUGUCGCAUGCUAUGCUUGCUCAACUUUAGAUCUGUUUAAUUGCAUGAUUAGUGUCUUGAUUUUUUUUGUGUGCAAAAUAACACUUGAACAAGUUUUACAUAAGUAUUACGAUGCCAUUUGUUACUACUGAAAGCAUCCUUUUUUUGGUCGAAAUCUUUCUUUUUUCUAGCUUUAAUUUAUUUUUGUUUGCAUGAUAAUGAUGUGUCAAAGAUUUGUGCCAUAUUUUCAGUCAUUUAGUGUAAAAUGUGCUUCAUUGGUAGAA